rnacentral:rRNA from 1 species
GACAAGGUUCCAGGCCCUACGGGGUGCAGCAGGCGCGAAACCUCCGCAAUGUGAGAAAUCGCGACGGGGGGAUCCCAAGUGCCAUUCCUAACGGGAUGGCUUUUCAUUAGUGUAAAGAGCUUUUGGAAUAAGGGCUGGGCAAGACCGGUGCCAGCCGCCGCGGUAACACCGGCAGCUCUAGUGGUAGCAGUUUUUAUUGGGCCUAAAGCGUCCGUAGCCGGUUUAAUAAGUCUCUGGUGAAAUCCUGUAGCUUAACUGUGGGAAUUGCUGGAGAUACUAUUAGACUUGAGACCGGGAGAGGUUAGAGGUACUCCCAGGGUAGAGGUGAAAUUCUGUAAUCCUGGGAGGACCGCCUGUUGCGAAGGCGUCUAACUGGAACGGUUCUGACGGUGAGGGACGAAAGUUAGGGGCGCGAACCGGAUUAGAUACCCGGGUAGUCCUAACUGUAAACGAUGCGGACUUGGUGUUGGGGUGGCUUUGAGCUGCUCCAGUGCCGAAGGGAAGCUGUUAAGUCCGCCGCCUGGGAAGUACGGUCGCAAGACUGAAACUUAA